CACGAAACUAUGUGAGCUAAAUUUACUUACGUGUCAUGUAGCAUAAUGAUUAAAUGAAGGAAAUUUAGGGGUGAUAGGCUUUACAAACAUAGUGAUAUCUUGAUUUUCUCGAAAUGUAAUAGUACACAUACGGAUUUAAAGCUAUAAGGUUUUAAAUAUUGAUAAAUCUUGAUAAAUUAAUGGUGAGAUGUAAAAGUCUACACAUAAACAAUUUUAACAUAUAUAUCAUAAGGUUGUUAAAAAUAGAGAAAUGUAUUUUAAUUAACAUUAUAUUAACAAUGUUACUAUUAGUAUUAUAUAAGGUGCAAAUAGUGAACUCGGCAUUAAGUUUUCAACUGUUUAUCAAAAACAUAGCUGCGUGACAAUACACGCAGUAUUUUCUGCUCAAUGAAUAUUAAAUAGCCGCAGUACCUUGACUGUGCAAAGGUAGCGUAAUCAUUUGUCUUUUAAUUGGAGUCACGUAUGAACGAAUAUAUGGGGACUUUCUUUACCAUUUGUAAUAACAGAACUUAAUUAAUGAGUGAAAAAGCUCAUGUUUAAAUAAUAGACGAGAAGACCCUAGAAAUUUAUGUUGACAUUUUGUUGGGGCAACAUAGUAACAUGUAACUUACUAUAUAAAUAUGAAAUAGAUUAGAUAAGUUAAAUUACUCUAGGGAUAACAGCAUAAUGUUUAAAUGUUUGUGACCUCGAUGUUGGAUUAGGGAGUUAUAGUUUAGAA
rnacentral:rRNA from 1 species